rnacentral:lncRNA from 1 species
AAUGGAGCUAAUGAUAAUACAUAAGAGAAAAAGAAGUAAUCCCUGUGGUGCAUUUAACACAUUGUUGGGCCUUUAGUUAGUAAACACUCAGAUAUUAGCAAAUAUUUUGUGCCAGACUUACAUUAGGCAUUGAUUGAUUCAGCCAAUGAUUAGUGUUUACAGUAUGCAAAACACCAUCUUGGGCUCUGGAGAGAAAGCAAUAAAUAAUAUCCCAACUGCAUGGGCUAGUGUGUUAGGAAAGAUGGAUAACAAACAAGUAAAUCAAUUUUAUUUCAGAAAAUGUGUGCAUGGGGACUAUUUCGAUGGGGUAGUCAGGAGAAAGUUACAUUUGAAUGGAGAUCUGAAUAAGCAGCCUGUGAGCUGGAAAUCUAGAAAAAGAGCAGGAUAAAUGUGAACGUGUCAGAAAUUAGAAGCAUAGGUUUGGGAGCCAUCAGCAUAUGGAUGGCAUGGAAAGCCAGGAAAGCAGAUGCAUUUGCCUCAAAAAUGGCAAGAAGAGAAAAGGACUGUCAUAGGCUAUCAGCUUUUAGUAUUUCAGAAGAGUAGUUAAGAAAAACAAACUGAAUCUGGCAUAGCCCCUACUCUUAAGAAGCCAAUGGUCUCAUGGAGCAACAAAUUUAUAAUUACUUACACAGUGGAUUAUGAGAGCUAAGGAAGAGCAGCAGUUAGGGAAACCUUCCUAAGAACUGUGUCACUUGAGCUAAGUGAAUGUGUUUGUUUUUGUGGUGCUGGUAAUCAAACCUGGGGCCUCCCCAUCCCUUUUUAUUUUAUUUUGAGACAGGUUCUUGCUAAAUUGCUGAGGCUGUCCUCAAACUUGAUGAUCCUCCUGCCUCAGCCUCUGGAGUAACUGGGAUUAUAGGUAUGCACCACCGUGCCCAACUCAACUUGAGUGUCAAAGGGAGAAAGAAUGGUUAACCAUUGAGGGUAAGAAGACUAUUCUGGAUAGUACUAUGUGAACAAAGAAAGAACUCCAAGAACAUAGACCAUUUUGGGGAGUAUAAGCAGUUUACUAAUUUCUAAGGUUGAUGUAAAUCUGGGGUGUAAAGUGGGACAGGAGGAGUUGGGCCAAAUCAUGGAGUACUUUCUAAACCCUAAGAAGGAAUUUUACCUGAAGUAUGAACAGUGAGGUGACAUGGUAGAUUUGAGUUCUAAAUAGCUCACUCUUGCACUGCUGUGAUCAAUAUGUUUGAGGAAAGUAGACCAGAGUCGGAACCAGAGAUGGUAGUAGCUUAACAAGGGCCAUGAUCAUGGGGGUAGGGGAGAAUGAAGUGACUUACAG